UCAUAUAUUUGAUCCAUGUGAGAGAGUACUAGUAGAGAAGCUUGUAAACAAACCUCUUGAUAUGAUCAAGUAUCAAAAGCCUUGCCCCUGGUGCUGGUGGAAUGUUUACUUCUUGCUCUGAUUGUUUCCUUCACCUGAAAGAAGAACAAAAACCCGUGCGUAGCAAACAGCCCAGGAGAGUGCGUGUGCAGGCCUUACUUUCAAGCCUUUGCUCACAAAAGCGUACGCCAACCCACCACCUGAGGCUGAGACCAUGCUGCAAAGUUUGUCAAAACCCAAUCAGAAACAACGUCUGUAACAGGUUUUCAUCAAAUCAAUAUCACCCAAAGAACAAAUCUUGAAGAUUCUCAGACAAGGAAAUAUAAACAGGGAUCAAAAAGUUGAGUGAAAAAAGAAUGAAACUUUACGCAGCCGUAAGAUCAUCUUUGCUUCUGAUUCCUUUCAUUAUGUGUUCAAUUCCCAGACGACGAAACAACAAAGAAUCGAAUCGGAAAUAAGAAAAUAGCAAACCCAGACGAAAAUCCUAAUUCGAUUAAAAUCCCCAAUUCGAUUUGAAACCCUCAUUCUAGUAAAAUCCCACAAUCGAACCGUAAAAAUUGAUGAAAUCAACAUGCAUCAACUCCAAAUGCAAAGAUAAUGAACUAAAACGCUCUGAUUUAUCUUCAACACCGAAGAUCGCCGAAUCACCUUUUGUUUCGUCGGAGGAAUUUUUUUUAUGUAAUUGUCGCGACUUCUUUUUUUUUUCUCCUUACAAAACACGACCCUGACCCUCACCAAUCGGACUUUGCCAACUCAUCAAGGACCAAAUCCUUAAUCUCCUUAGUUAAGGACUCUUUCUUAACUUAUGAUUUUUUUAUAUUAAUAUUUUAAUCAAUCCCGCAUAAGAAUUAAUGCUAAGGAUCUACUUAAACCCCGCGUUGCGGGUGGUCUUAUAUAUCUACUUACCUGUGUUGAAUGUCAUUUUCCUAAGUCAAGGUCUUUAAAAUAGUAUUUUCUUCUUUCUUUUUUGACUUGUCUACCUACUUUCUUCCUAUGUAGAUGUGAUGAUAAACUUUUAUAUUAGGGUGUGAGUCUGGCAGAAAAUAAAGUAGCCAUCGGAAUCCUCUCUGAUGACGUGAUAUAAUUCUAAAAUAAAAUUAAUUUCUCAUAUAUAUAUAUAUACAUAUAUAUAUAUAUAUUAAUAUUUAGAUUUUAAUUAAUUUGUAAAAUACUGAACUCGUUUUAAUCUUUUGUCUGCUAUUUUUUAUAAUUAUGAUUGCAUUUUCCUUUAUUUAAACAAGAGUUGUGACUGGUUGAUGUUGAGCCAAAAUCUGUUGUGGAUUGAACUGAUUGUAUCCAAUAGUUGGAUGAAUAUAAGUUGAUGUUGAGCAGAAAAAAAAACGAAACAAGAGUUGUGACGAACCGAAGCAUUGUACUUGUGAAUUUUUUUAAUGAUGAGAAUUCUUCUUCAUCCUGCUGUUAGAGCUGCUCUUAGAGCACCUCUAUUGAAGGUUUAUGGGGGGAGUUCACAUAGAAAUCAAGAAAAAAAAUAAUAAAAUAAUUCAAUCUUAUGAAUUCCUUUCUCUUAAAGCUUUCUUGGCUGAACCCCUUUCUCCUAAAGUUUAUCACUGUAGCGCAGACCCCACGUGUCGUGGCGAUCCGCAAUUAGUCUAGUUUUUUUUUUUUUAAAAAACCAAAAAGAAAAAGAAAAAUGUUUUAAUAAUAAAAAACUGAAAAGAUGAACCCCAAGAGAGGGUUCAUUGAUGUGGAUGCUCUUAGCUACUACUAACAUCAUGGAUCCACCCCUGCUCAGUGUGAUGUUUAAACCGAGACCAUAGGAAGUAGUUGAAAUAAAUGUGGCACAAUAAUAUAUAAGUAAAAUUAUAUUUUCCUUGGUUGAGUUAUCAUCAUCGGGGAUUGCAUUCCCUAUGAAGAGAUCAAUUUGAUUCCUAAUUUUUUUUUUUGAUAACUUUGGUGUGAUCCCAAAGAUUUUUUAGAUCCAAUGACUAAUCACCAAAAAACUUAUAGAAAUUCAGGUUUUUUUGCCACUUAAAACGUUUAUAAGUGACCAAGAGAAAUCGAACCCAGAACGGAAAUUCCAGAUAUAACUCUUUUACUAUUAGACCGAGACCACUUUGUUAAUAAUAUAGAUUUAUAUAUAAACUGACCAAUGGAUAUUUGACUAUCCUACUUGCAGCCAUCAUAUAUCAACUAUGAACAACCAUUCUAUUUUCUCGUUUUGCUAAAAUUAAUUCUAUGUUUCUUUUGCUUUUACGUCUACGUUUGUUUUGUUUUAUUUAACAACUCAUUGAUCAAAGAUGCAUGUAGCAUCUGCACCCAGCUUGUAAGCAUAUCCAAAGAAAAAAAAUACUAGAAACAAGAAACAAAAAAAAGAGAGUAGAAGAGUACAAUACGAGCAUUUUCAAAAAAA